rnacentral:lncRNA from 1 species
UUUCCCUCCCCCCUCCCCUUUCUGAUUUGCUGAACGGUAAUAUCUAUAGGCAUCAUGGAUAUCGUUCAUUCCUAGGAAAAAAUAAAAUCAACUUCUGUAAAUAGCACUAGUAGGCAGGGGACUGUGACCCAAGAUCCAAAUAAUUUUGCUCAUUUCUUUCCUUUUCUCCUUGGGUUAAAAAAAAAAAAAGGCCCCUCUCCAUCCCUCUUUUCUUUUGUCCUUGCCUUGUUUAAUCAAAGAGUUAAUGAAUGACGCAAGCACUGAUGCUGAAGAUCCUAACCCUUUUUCCUCACCUUUUCAAAUGCUCGCAACUCACCCAAACUGAAAAUACAGAUAGCUGUUCCGUCAGUAAAGAUAGAUAAGAACUCAUCAGUAAAACCUGGACCCUGGUAUUGAAAACUGAUUUUCCUUUUCUCUUGAAAUUUGUAUCAGAUAUGUGUUUUUGCACCCUAUUUUCUGUAGUGGUAUUGGUAAACUUUAUUGUGUCUUUGGAGUAAGAGAAAGAGACCUAAUUGUAAACCUCAUUCCACCACUUACUAGUCUCAGUACCCUGGGCAAAUGAUUUAUGUUUUGUGAUCCUCAGUUUUUUUGUAUGCUUUCUAUAUUUUAGAUGCUGUGUUAUAUCGUUCACGUUGAUUUUUUUAUUCAUCACCAAGUCCUUAUUAGAUGAGCACUACUGGAUCAAAGUCAAACAACAAAAAUCAUACCCCUUUCAAUUAUCUAUCUUAUAUACUUGUACACCACACAGGAGGGAUUUUUUUAGAGCAGUGGUUCCCAAGGUGUGUUUCCUGGAUGUACCAGAAACAUCAGCGUCACCUGAAAAGUUGUCAGAAAUUCGGAUUCUCAGGUCCCACCUCAAACUUAAUGAAUCAGAAGUUCGCAGGGUGGGGUUUAGUAAUCUGUGUUAUUACAAACUAUCCCAGUGAUUCCAGCACACACUGAAGUUUGAGAGCCACUGCUUUGGAGAGUAGAAAUGCAAUGCAUAUUUUUGUACACACCACUAGAGGGUGCUACAGAAUGUAAAGCAAAAUAAUAAAUGAUGCACAGUAUAUGUUUUCAGACACCCUCUAUAUUAUCAGUCCUAUUUUACAGAUUAAAAACUAAUGUGUAGAUAUGUCAAAUUAUUUUCUUAGUGUACGCAACAAGUAUGGGAACCAGGAUUUGAACUUCACCUGCCUCUAGCCCAAGCCCCUAAUAGUACUCUGUUGUUUAACCAUGAUGACUUGUCUUUCCAAGCCUCAAAAUACAUUAGAAAUAUCUUGUUCCCUGCUUUGGCUAAUGUUGACUGGAGUGUCAAGAAGAGUGCAGGAAAGCAAACCAAGUAAGUGGAAAUAUUUCGAUGUUUCAUUCUCAUACCCUUCCUCAUCUCCAUUCUAUAAUAGCAUAUCACAUCAAGGCUUCUAAAUGUUUUCUUUCUUGUUUUUUAAUUCCCCAAAUAAUGUUCUCUUUACUCUGCAGUUGCCUUUUUUAUUUAUGUCUAAAUCUCUUUUUUUUUUUAACGGAAUUUCUCUCUGUCGCCCAGGCUGGAGUGAAGUGGCGCGAUCUCAGCUCACUGCAAUCUCAGCUCACUGCAAUCUCCGCCCUCCCCUCCACCCAACCCCAACCCUGGUUCAAGCAAUUCUCCCGCCUCAG